rnacentral:lncRNA from 1 species
UGCUACGCUAACAGGCAGCUUGCAAAACACUGACGAAUGAACAUGUUAGGCAAGAGUGAAAUGAACGGUUUUGACAAGGACUGAGUAGCAGUGAGGGUCUGCGUGCUGCAGUGCGAACGCCGCAGGAGUCGGACCCACCCCAAUUUUUAAUUACUGCCGUGAUGCAACCCGCAGCUCCCAGGACUGCAGCUCGUCACAGGGAGGACCAACUGCCUUGAGCCCGGUGUGCAGGAGGGAAGAUGGUUUUCCAUGACAGCAAGGCCAGAAGAACUACAGAAACUCUCUCCUCCUAAGCAGCUCACCAGUAACACUGAACAGUCCCAGAAGAGGGAAGCCAGCACGGGGCACCACCUAACGGCCACUGGAUCCCCGGCUUUGCUUCCCUGCAGUUUCCUCCCAGCUGAAAUUACAGCUAGCAGAGAAGAAAUCCAACCGUUCAACUGAGCUACCAGUUACUAAUCCUGAAAUUCGGCAGGACUGAUCAGGGCACCUGACAUUCCACAUCCAUGCACACCCACACGCUCUGAACGCAGGACUGAUCUGCAGGAAGAAAACGAAGCUCCCUGAGCCACGGGACCCUGAUGGCAACGGGCACAAGCAGGGACGGCUCUGGCCCCAGGGGCAGGGCUAGCACAGCAGCCUGAGAGCCGGAGGCCCGUGAUCCGAUAGCACUCUGUCCUAAACACUUUCUGCUUUUGUGGUUGGGCACCUGCAACACCAUGAGCAGCACAGGUCAGAACCCCCUAAUCGUUAGGAUUGUUCACAGAAUCUGUGAUGUCCCCUGAAGACAGUGAAUGUCAAGGACAGGGAGAGAAGAGCACUUCUUGUGCUGUUCUGAAAUCCAAAUACUUGUAGUUUAUCUGUUUCAAGGAGUUGAAUAACUAUAAUUUAUUCAGAUAAGUAUAAUGCCAAUCACAAUAUUUACCAGCAGAAUCUGUUACAAAUACAGGGAGAGUGUGGAGUUAGGAGAGACAGUCUAAAGAGCAAGUUCUAGUAACACACCUAGGAAGAAAUUUAUUCUGUGCACGCUUCCCUUCAGCUUUAGAUAAACCACUGGUUUAUAGCAUGGUCAUGGGAAAUUCAGAGAUUCCUCAUUUUCUGUGGACAUUGGCAAGGCACAAUUCAAAUCCUGCAGGUUUGCCAGCUUGCUAUACACACCUGUACAGGAAAGUUUGCCCCAGUUUAAAG